rnacentral:rRNA from 1 species
GACGAACGCUGGCGGCGUGCUUAACACAUGCAAGUCGAACGGAAAUGCCCUUCUUUUGUUGGGUGCUCGAGUGGCGAACGGGUGAUUAACACGUGAGUAACCUGCCCUUGACUUUGGUAUAACUUCAGGAAACUGGGGCUAAUACCGGAUAGGAGCUCCUGCUGCAUGGUGGGGGUUGGAACGUUUCGGCGGUUGGGGAUGUACUCGCGGCUUAUCAGCUUGUUGUUGGGGUAGUGGCUUACCAAGGCUUUGACGGGUAGCCGGCCUGAGAGGGUGACCGGCCACAUUGGGACUGAGAUACGGCCCAGACUCCUACGGGAGGCAGCAGUGGGGAAUAUUGCACAAUGGGCGGAAGCCUGAUGCAGCAACGCCGCGUGCGGGAUGACGGCCUUCGGGUUGUAAACCGCGUUCGCCUGUGACGAAGCGCGAGUGACGGUAAUGGGUAAAGAAGCACAGGCUAACUACGUG